rnacentral:rRNA from 1 species
GAUUCUGGCUCAGGAUGAACGCUGGCGGCGUGCCUAAUACAUGCAAGUCGAGCGAGAACUUGAUGAUGGAAGAUUCGUCUGAAAGAUCAAGGGAAAGCGGCGGACGGGUGAGUAACGCGUAGGCAACCUGCCCUUAGCAGAGGGAUAGCCAUUGGAAACGAUGAUUAAAACCUCAUAACGCUUGAGAGACACAUGUCUUUCGAGCCAAAGAUUUAUCGGCUAAGGAUGGGCCUGCGUCUGAUUAACUGGUUGGUGAGGUAACGGCUCACCAAGGUGACGAUCAGUAGCCGACCUGAGAGGGUGAUCGGCCACAUUGGAACUGAGACACGGUCCAAACUUCUACGGAAGGCAGCAGUAAGGAAUCUUGCACAAUGGGGGGAAACCCUGAUGCAGCAACGCCGCGUGAACGAAGAAGGCCUUCGGGUUGUAAAGUUCUGAUCUUGGGGAAGAAGGAAGUGACGGUACCCAAGGAGAAAGCCCCGGCUAACUACGUGCCAGCCGCCGC